rnacentral:rRNA from 1 species
UACAGAGGGUGCGAGCGUUGUCCGGAAUCACUGGGCGUAAAGGGCGCGUAGGUGGCAAGAUAAGCGUGUGGUGAAAGCCCGGGGCUCAACCCCGGGUCUGCCAUGCGAACUGUCUUGCUAGAGCGUAGUAGAGGCAGGUGGAAUUUCGGGUGUAGCGGUGGAAUGCGUAGAGAUCCGAAAGAACACCGGUGGCGAAGGCGGCCUGCUGGGCUACUGCUGACACUGAGGCGCGACAGCGUGGGGAGCAAACAGG